UAUGGGCCGGACCGGCAGUUCAGCAAUGUGCGGUGAUUAGCCGAUAGGCACUUGUUGGUGAGCCGCGGGUGUGGUAUGCUUUUGUCCUCUGCGUGAAAAGCUGGCACGCUGCGUGUUCGUCAAGAGCGACCAGGUCAGGGGUGGUGUCUGGCCGCAGCGUAGCAGGUGGCGACUGCUGUUACUAGGAGAGGCUGAAGGCUGAAGUAGUCGGGAAGACCCAGUUCUUCCUCACCUUGACAGAGUAGGCCAGGGAGAUGGUGACAGCCAGCGGCAGCCCCUCCGGCACAGCCACCACCAACACAGUCACACCAAUGAUGAAGAACUUGACAAAGUACUGGAUGUAGAUGGGAGUGCACUCCGGCAACCAAGGGCGUUUCUGGAUCACAAAGUUGUCAAUGGCAAAGAACAGGACCAGGAUGAUGACUGUGAUGGCUGACAUGAGCAAACCUGAAAAGAGAUUAAAAAAAGGUUUUCAGCUGA